UGGGGAAUAUUGGACAAUGGGGGCAACCCUGAUCCAGCGAUGCCGCGUGUGUGAAGAAGGCCUGCGGGUUGUAAAGCACUUUAGUUGGGGAGGAAGGGCGUUGAGAUAAAUAAUCUUGAUGCUUUGACGUUACCCAAAGAAUAAGCACCGGCAAACUCUGUGCCAGCAGCCGCGGUAAUACAGAGGGUGCAAGCGUUAAUCGGAAUGACUGGGCGUAAAGGGCGCGUAGGUGGGUGGAUAAGUCGUCGGUGAAAGCCCUGGGCUCAACCUAGGAAUGGCCGAUGAUACUGUUUGUCUAGAGUGAAGUAGAGGGUAGCGGAAUUUCCGGUGUAGCGGUGAAAUGCGUAGAUAUCGGAAAGAACACCAGUGGCGAAGGCGGCUACCUGGACUUUGACUGACACUGAGGCGCGAAAGCGUGGGGAGCGAACAGGAUUAGAUACCCCGGUAGUCC
rnacentral:rRNA from 1 species